rnacentral:rRNA from 1 species
GAUGAACGCUGGCGGCGUGCCUAAUACAUGCAAGUCGAACGAGAUGGUUUACCAUCUAGUGGCGAACGGGUGAGUAAUACAUAAGUAACCUGCCCUAGACAGGGGGAUAACUAUUGGAAACGAUAGCUAAUACCGCAUAGGCAUACCCUUCGCAUGGAGGGGAUGUUAAAGAUGCUAAGGCAUCGGUAGAGGAUGGACUUAUGGCGCAUUAGCUAGUUGGUGAGGUAAAGGCCCACCAAGGCGACGAUGCGUAGCCGACCUGAGAGGGUGACCGGCCACACUGGGACUGAGACACGGCCCAGACUCCUACGGGAGGCAGCAGUAGGGAAUUUUCGGCAAUGGGCGAAAGCCUGACCGAGCAACGCCGCGUGAAGGAAGAAGGUUUUCGGAUUGUAAACUUCUGUUAUAAAGGAAGAACGGUACCUGUAGGGAAUGACAGGUAAGUGACGGUACUUUAUGAGAAAGCCACGGCUAACUACGUGCCAGCAGCCGCGGUAACAC